UGUUGUUGAGGAAGAUAAUGACGGUACUCAACAAGGAAGUGACGGCUAACUACGUGCCAGCAGCCGCGGUAAAACGUAGGUCACAAGCGUUGUCCGGAAUUACUGGGUGUAAAGGGAGCGCAGGCGGGAGAACAAGUUGGAAGUGAAAUCCAUGGGCUCAACCCAUGAACUGCUUUCAAAACUGUUUUUCUUGAGUAGUGCAGAGGUAGGCGGAAUUCCCGGUGUAGCGGUGGAAUGCGUAGAUAUCGGGAGGAACACCAGUGGCGAAGGCGGCCUACUGGGCACCAACUGACGCUGAGGCUCGAAAGUGUGGGUAGCAAACAGGAUUAGAUACCCUGGUAGUCCACACCGUAAACGAUGAUUACUAGGUGUUGGAGGAUUGACCCCUUCAGUGCCGCAGUUAACACAAUAAGUAAUCCACCUGGGGAGUACGACCGCAAGGUUGAAACUCAAAGGAAUUGACGGGGGCCCGCACAAGCAGUGGAGUAUGUGGUUUAAUUCGACGCAACGCGAAGAACCUUACCAAGUCUUGACAUCCCUUGACGAACAUAGAAAUAUGUUUUCUCUUCGGAGCAAGGAGACAGGUGGUGCAUGGUUGUCGUCAGCUCGUGUCGUGAGAUGUUGGGUUAAGUCCCGCAACGAGCGCAACCCUUAUGGUCAGUUACUACGCAAGAGGACUCUGGCCAGACUGCCGUUGACAAA
rnacentral:rRNA from 1 species